AACGAACGCUGGCGGCAGGCUUAACACAUGCAAGUCGAACGCCCCGCAAGGGGAGUGGCAGACGGGUGAGUAACGCGUGGGAAUCUACCCAGUUCUACGGAACAACUGAGGGAAACUUCAGCUAAUACCGUAUACGCCCUAAGGGGUCAAGAUUUAUCGGAAUUGGAUGAGCCCGCGUUAGAUAAGCUAGUUGGUGGGGUAACGGCCUACCAAGGCGACGAUCUAUAGCUGGUCUGAGAGGAUGAUCAGCCACACUGGGACUGAGACACGGCCCAGACUCCUACGGGAGGCAGCAGUGGGGAAUAUUGGACAAUGGGCGCAAGCCUGAUCCAGCCAUGCCGCGUGAGUGAUGAAGGCCUUAGGGUUGUAAAGCUCUUUCAGUAGGGACGAUAAUGACGGUACCUACAGAAGAAGCCCCGGCUAACUUCGUGCCAGCAGCCGCAGUAACAC
rnacentral:rRNA from 1 species